CAGUUGCCGCGGGAACACGUAGGGUGCAAGCGUUAAUCGGAAUUACUGGGCGUAAAGCGUGCGCAGGCGGUUAUAUAAGACAGAUGUGAAAUCCCCGGGCUCAACCUGGGAACUGCAUUUGUGACUGUAUAGCUAGAGUACGGCAGAGGGGGAUGGAAUUCCGCGUGUAGCAGUGAAAUGCGUAGAUAUGCGGAGGAACACCGAUGGCGAAGGCAAUCCCCUGGGCCUGUACUAACGCUCAUGCACGAAAGCGUGGGGAGCAAACAGGAUUAGAUACCCCGGUAGUCCCUGUCUCUUAUAA
rnacentral:rRNA from 1 species